rnacentral:rRNA from 1 species
UACAGAGGUCCCAAGCGUUGUUCGGAUUUAUUGGGCGUAAAGGGUGCGUAGGCGGCGGAGUAAGUUGGGUGUGAAAUCCCGGGGCUCAACCUCGGAAUUGCAUUCAAUACUGCUUCGCUUGAGUACUGGAGAGGAGACUGGAAUUUACGGUGUAGCAGUGAAAUGCGUAGAGAUCGUAAGGAAGACCAGUGGCGAAGGCGAGUUUCUGGACGGUAACUGACGCUGAGGCACGAAGGCCAGGGGAGCAAACGGG